CGAACGGGUGAGUAACGCGUGAGCAACCUGCCUUUCAGUGGGGGACAACAGAGGGAAACUUCUGCUAAUACCGCAUAACGUGCCUUGGGGGCAUCCCUGGGGUACCAAAGAUUUGUUGCUGAAAGAUGGGCUCGCGUCUGAUUAGAUAGUUGGUGGGGUAACGGCCCACCAAGUCGACGAUCAGUAGCCGGUCUGAGAGGAUGAACGGCCACAUUGGGACUGAGAUACGGCCCAGACUCCUACGGAAGGCAGCAG
rnacentral:rRNA from 1 species